CCGAAUACACGUGCCGGAGACCCGAUUUAUUUUCACUGUCCGGCCACGACACGGAGCCGGACCACCAGCGUUCAACGCGUCAUUUCACCGUCUACCUCCUACUGAUUUUGGAUCGUCCAUGCAUCGAGUGAGGAGGGAGAAUCGAAGUCGGAAAGCUUCGAGUUUUCCGACUGUUCUUCAUCAAUUUCCGGCGACUCCGGUCACCUUCGAACAUGCAUGAGCAAUGGAGCCAUUGUCAACAACGGCGAUUCCCACGUUUCUGGGUUCAUCGUCGAUAACAAUUUUGGUCCUAGAAUUUGGAAGGGUGAUUGGUCAAGCCUAAAUUAUUGGAUAGGCUGAGUGGAUGAUCUCGGAACUGGCAAAGUUUGGAAAUAGUCGAGCAAAGUGGGAAAAACCUUUGGUUGCUGUGUUGUGUUCUUCGUCGGAGAAGUAUUCAGCCGGCUUAGAAGCUUUGCUUGGCUUUCUUUAAAUACUAAGUGUGGAUGACCUUACUGAGCAGUGCAGACGAAAGCUCACCAUACAAUGGUGUGGAUGCGGGUAUUGUGCACUGGUUACAGGAUUGGAGCGAACAAAGAUGGGUGUGCGGACUUCGAUAGUAAUUGUAACGGAAAUCAGGUCUCAGGUUCCAAUCUUAUCCUUGUUUCUUAAAGUUAUUUUUCCAAAAUUGGUUGAAAGCUGAUUGUCGUUUACUAAGCCCAUUACCACCCGAUUAUUUGAUAUGACAAGUCUUGGAAGAAUAAUUGAACUUAAAGUUUAAAAAGAUUUUCACCUCAAUUUUUUUUUUAUCACUGUGCAUUUUACAAAUUUAUUUAUUUUAAAUAAGUUGCCUAGCCGAUCUCUAGUAUGUAAGUCGAAUCUUCGGUUUAUGUUUAAAGACUCGCGGCACUAUAACGAACUAAAGCUGGUGAGGUGACAAACUAAUGAGGCUUGCUCACCUAGACUAAGAGACAGUUUUAAAGGAUUGUGAGGG